GUUUGUAAAAGAUAUUCGGCACGCUGAGAGCACCGGUUCUCGUCCGAUCACCGAAGUUAAGCAGCGUCGAGCCUAGUGAGUACUUAGAUGGGUGACCGCUUGAGAAACCUAGGUGCUGUAAGCA
rnacentral:rRNA from 1 species